UGCGGAGGAAAAGAAACCAACAGGGAUUGCCUCAGUAACGGCGAGUGAAGCGGCAACAGCUCAAAUUUGAAAUCUGGCCCCAGGCCCGAGUUGUAAUUUGCAGAGGAUGCUUUUGGUGAGGUGCCUUCCAAGUUCCCUAGAACGGGACGCCAGAGAGGGUGAGAGCCCCGUACAGUUGGACACCAAGCCUUUGUAAAGCUCCUUCGACGAGUCGAGUAGUUUGGGAAUGCUGCUCAAAAUGGGAGGUAUAUUUCUUCUAAAGCUAAAUACCGGCCAGAGACCGAUAGCGCACAAGUAGAGUGAUCGAAAGAUGAAAAGCACUUUGAAAAGAGGGUUAAACAGCACGUGAAAUUGUUAAAAGGGAAGCGCUUGUGACCAGACUUGCGUCCGGUGAAUCACCCAGCUCUCGCGGCUGGGGCACUUCGCCGGCUCAGGCCAGCAUCAGCUCGCUGUCGGGGACAAAAGCUUCAGGAACGUAGCUCUCUUCGGGGAGUGUUAUAGCCUGUUGCAUAAUACCCUUCGGCGGGCUGAGGUACGCGCUCCGCAAGGAUGCUGGCAUAAUGGUCAUCAGCGACCCGUCUUGAAACACGGACCAAGGAGUCAACCUUAUGUGCGAGUGUUCGGGUGUCAAACCCCUACGCGUAAUGAAAGUGAACGCAGGUGAGAGCUUCGGCGCAUCAUCGACCGAUCCUGAUGUUCUCGGAUGGAUUUGAGUAAGAGCAUAUAGGGUUGGACCCGAAAGAAGGUGAACUAUGCGUGUGUAGGGUGAAGCCAGAGGAAACUCUGGUGGAGGCUCGCAGCGGUUCUGACGUGCAAAUCGAUCGUCAAACUUGCGCA
rnacentral:rRNA from 1 species